rnacentral:rRNA from 1 species
GGUCAAGUAAUGAAGUGCACAUGGUGGAUGCCUUGGCAGUCAGAGGCGAUGAAAGACGUGAUAGCCUGCGAUAAGCGUCGGUGAGGUGGCAAUAUCCUGUGACCCGGCGAUUUCUGAAUGGGGAAACCCAGCCAACAUAAGUUGGCUAUCCUAACCUUUGGUUAGGAGGCAAACCGGGAGAAGUGAAACAUCUCAGUACCCCGAGGAAAAGACAUCAAUAGAGAUUCCCCAAGUAGCGGCGAGCGAACGGGGAGGAGCCGAUCAAACUUGUAGUAGCAAAAUGGCGUGGGAAAGCCAACCAUAGUAGGUGAUAGUCCUGUAUGCGAAACUGCAAAUGCGACAUAUUAAGUAGGGCGAGACACGUGAAAUCUUGUCUGAAGAUGGGGGGACCAUCCUCCAAGGCUAAAUACUCCUGACUGACCGAUAGUGAACCAGUACCGUGAGGGAAAGGCGAAAAGAACCCCUGUUAGGGGAGUGAAAUAGAACCUGAAACCGUGUGCAUACAAGCAGUCGGAGCCCGACCACUUAAUCGCUUUGAGGAUAACAAUGAACUUUUAUUAUGUAUAUGUUCUACAAAACAUCAAUAAUCAAAAUGACUUUUAUGUUGGGUUUACUUCCAACUUAAAGCAGAGAAUUGAAGCACAUAAUACAGGUCAAACUACCGCAACUCGUGGUAGGACUUGGAAAAUCGUUUAUUGUGAAGCCUAUAUAAGUGAGAAAGUGGCAAGAAAGCGAGAACACGCCACAAAAAAUAAUGGCAAAGUGCGAACUUUCUUAAUGAACCGCAUUAAAUCACAGUUUGAGUCAUCAUAAAAUGACAAAGUAUCGUAAAUAAGCUAAGUCGGGCUUGCCCGAUCACUUAAUUACGAUGCGAAGCAGAGUGAUUAAGUGGUCGGGUGACGGCGUACCUUUUGUAUAAUGGGUCAGCGACUUAUAUUCUGUAGCAAGGUUAACCGUUUAGGGGAGCCGUAGGGAAACCGAGUCUUAAUAGGGCGAUUAAGUUGCAGGGUAUAGACCCGAAACCGAGUGAUCUAUCCAUGAGCAGGUUGAAAGUGCCGUAACAGGCACCGGAGGACCGAACCCACUGUCGUUGAAAAGCCAGGGGAUGACUUGUGGAUAGGGGUGAAAGGCUAAUCAAACUCGGUGAUAGCUGGUUCUCCCCGAAAGCUAUUUAGGUAGCGCCUCGGACGAAUACCAUUGGGGGUAGAGCACUGUUUCGGCUAGGGGGUCAUCCCGACUUACCAAACCGAUGCAAACUCCGAAUACCGAUGAGUACUAUCCGGGAGACAGACGGCGGGUGCUAACGUUCGUCGUCAAGAGGGAAACAACCCAGACCGCCAGCUAAGGCCCCAAAUUCCUAGUUAAGUGGGAAACGAUGUGGGAAGGCACAGACAGCUAGGAGGUUGGCUUAGAAGCAGCCACCCUUUAAAGAAAGCGUAAUAGCUCACUAGUCGAGUCGGCCUGCGCGGAAGAUGUAACGGGGCUCAAACUAGGAGCCGAAGCUGCGGAUUUAAUUGUUUCAAUUAAGUGGUAGGGGAGCGUUGUGUAAGCCUGUGAAGGUGUGUUGUAAAGCAUGCUGGAGGUAUCACAAGAGCGAAUGCUGACGUGAGUAACGACAAAACGGGUGAAAAGCCCGUUCGCCGGAAGACCAAGGGUUCCAGUCCAACGUUAAUCGAGGCUGGGUGAGUCGACCCCUAAGGCGAGGCCGAAAGGCGUAGUCGAUGGGAAAUUGGUUAAUAUUCCAAUACUUGUUUAUGAUGCGAUGGAGGGACGGAGAAGGUUAUGUCAGCCUGGCGUUGGUUGUCCAGGUGAAAGGAUGUAGGUAGGUUUAGUAGGCAAAUCCGCUAGACUAUUACUGAGAUCUGAUAGCAAGCC